AGCUAGCUUAUCCACCAAUACUAACCAAACAAUAUAACUAAAAUAGAAUAGGCCAAACACCAAAAACUAAACCAUUCUUUUACCUGAGUAUGGGAGACAGAAAAGGUUCAACCAAAGCAAUAGAAAAAGUACCGCAAGGGAAGGCUGAAAGAGAAAUGAAAUAACCCAUACAAGCACCAAAAAGCAAAGACUAAACCUUGUACCUUUUGCAUCAUGAUUUAGCAAGCAAGUACAAGCAAAGAGUCCUUUAGUUUGAAAUCCCGAAACCAGGUGAGCUACCCCGAGACAGCCUAUUAAGGGCCAACCCGUCUCUGUGGCAAAAGAGUGGGAAGAGCUCCGGGUAGAAGUGACAGACCUACCGAACCUGGUGAUAGCUGGUUGCCUAAGAAAUGAAUAGAAGUUCAGCCUCGUACACCUCAAGUCAAAUAAACAUAAAUAAGACACCCUGAGAAAUAUACGAGAGUUAGUUAAAGGGGGUACAGCCCCUUUAACAAAGGAUACAACCUUAUUCAGGAGGAUAAAGAUCAUAAUGUAUAAAACACACUGUUCUAGUGGGCCUAAAAGCAGCCACCUAAACAGAAAGCGUUAAAGCUCAGACAGAAAUAAGUUUAUUAUUCUGAUAAAAAAUCUUAUUCCCCUAAAUAUUAUUAGGCUAAUCCAUGCCCACAUGGAAGAAAUUAUGCUAAAAUGAGUAACAAGAAGGCCCGCCCUUCUCCAAGCACAAGUGUAAGCCAAACCGGACCAACCAUUGGCAACUAACGAACUCAACCCAAGAGAGCAAUGUGAACUACAAAAAAAUCAAGAAAACCCCACAACUCAACAAUCGUUAACCCCACACUGGAGUGCUAUUAAAGGAAAGACUAAAAGAAAGGGAAGGAACUCGGCAAACACAAGCCUCGCCUGUUUACCAAAAACAUCGCCUCCUGCAACACAACCAUGUAUAGGAGGUCCAGCCUGCCCAGUGACUACAAGUUCAACGGCCGCGGUAUUUUGACCGUGCAAAGGUAGCGCAAUCACUUGUCUUUUAAAUAGAGACCUGUAUGAAUGGCCAAACGAGGGCUUAACUGUCUCCCCCUUCAAGUCAGUGAAAUUGAUCUGCCCGUGCAGAAGCG
rnacentral:rRNA from 1 species